ACAGGGCUGUAGGCAAGAGUUGCUUUGGGCUGUGGGGACAUCAGAUGGAGCUGUUACUGAUGGGGGUUGAGUGGAGAUCUCUCUGGUUGCUCUAUGGAAGGCUGAUGGUGGAAGGAGGAUUCUGGAGGUCUGCUGUGUGUGGGGAGGGGGUUCCAUCCAUGCCCCAAAUUUACUCAGUGGCUACAGGGUCUUGGGAAGUCACCCUCCCCAGUUUGUUUUCUUCUGCUCAUGUUUAGCUUAAGAGACCAUGAUUGCUCUCAGGGUAAGUAUGAUCAGUGAACUUUGGAAUAGUUUAUAGGUGACUUUAAAAAUAAUUAUUGUUUGGUAUUUUAAAAGGAAGAAGACAGGAGCGGGGAGGAAAAGGUCAAGAACUCUUAAACACUAUCUUGUUCCCCGCUGAGAGUUCUGAAUUACUUCAGUGAAAAUUUACUUCGACAUGGAGAUCUUUUAAAAAUUAUUUGGGUGAAUUUUGGGCACUCUGGAAAACACAGGUAAUAUUCAUUUUUUAAAUGACAUUUAUUUUUAUUUUCUGUGUUGCAGGAGUUAUAUCUGCAUGUAUGUCUGCAUAGCAUGUACCUUCCUGGUACCUCUGGAAGCCAAAAGAAGGCCUCAGCUAUCCUGGAACUUGAGUUACAGAUGGUUGUGAGCCACCACAUAGGAAUGUUGGGAACUGAACCUGGGUCCUCAGGAAGACUGGCCAGUGUUCUUAACUGCUGAGUCAUCUCUCCAGCCUUGCACAGGGGAACAGCUGGAGGUUGCAAACAUGGUCGAGAAAGAACUCGCAGCUGAGACCCAUCUCAGGAGGUAGCAUCAGAUUUGCAGUCGCCUCCCUUUCUCUCCCGGGUGAUGCUCUUGUUUCUGUGGGAGCUGCAGUUAGCCUGGAGACAGCGGAUUCUGAUGAUGGGUCCUUAUGCUUUGUCUUACUACUGACUGGGCAACUCUUGGCAAGUCAUAGAAGGUCCACGCCUGCUUGGGAGUUUGCCUGGCAGUGGGUCAUGGGAGAUAAGUUUUGCCUCAAGGGAGGUGGUGAGAGGCAAGGAUAUUAGAUAAACACAUUAAAAACAGGGUGCCGAAUUUAGAAUGCCCAGUGGAACCACAUGCUGAAAAAGAAAGAAACGGAGCUUGCUAAUGCAGGAGGAACACAUGGGCAUUGCCAGUGCCCUUAAGCAAAGUGGAUCAUCUCCAGACAUCGAAGGGCAUCAUUAUCACGGAUAAGAACACAGAUGCUGGGGCUGGAGAGAUGGCGCAGAGGUUAAGAGCUGGCACUAAUCUUUCAGAGGACUGGAGUUUGGUUCCCAUCCCCAUGUUGGGCAGAUCAUGACGACCUGUGACUACAGCUUCAGAGGGCCUAGAACCUUCUUCUGGAGACCCUGCAUGCUCUGCCUUCAUGUGCUCCUUCCCCUAAGACACAGACGCCUUCCUAACCGUCUCUGGUGACAACAGGACAGGAACAUCACAGCUGUUUAUGUGCUAUGAUUUCCUAUGUGUGCACACAGGAAUAAGACUCUCUUGCCUUGCCCACAAACCACUCUUCACUCUUGGGAUGACCUUGCUCCAGCUGGGAUCAGAAGUUCUAGAGCAUUCUGGGUAUGAAAUCAAGGCCUGUGGGGAAAAUUUUAGCACCCAGUGUCUGCCCCGGUGUGCUUAGUGUCACCCCCAUAAGCGUUGACUUCACUAUCCCCCGUGUCCUGACUCCUAUAAAGAUGUUGAGUAAGCUCUGAGGUUUCCUGCCAGCUGAAA
rnacentral:lncRNA from 1 species